rnacentral:misc_RNA from 1 species
AGUCGUAACAAGGUUUCCGUAGGUGAACCUGCGGAAGGAUCAUUACCGAGUGAGGGCCCUCUGGGUCCAACCUCCCACCCGUGUUUAUCGUACCUUGUUGCUUCGGCGGGCCCGCCUUUAUGGCCGCCGGGGGGCAUCUGCCCCCGGGCCCGCGCCCGCCGAAGACACCCACGAACUCUGUCUGAAGAUUGUAGUCUGAGUGGAAUUAUAAAUUAUUUAAAACUUUCAACAACGGAUCUCUUGGUUCCGGCAUCGAUGAAGAACGCAGCGAAAUGCGAUACGUAAUGUGAAUUGCAGAAUUCAGUGAAUCAUCGAGUCUUUGAACGCACAUUGCGCCCUCUGGUAUUCCGGAGGGCAUGCCUGUCCGAGCGUCAUUGCUGCCCUCAAGCACGGCUUGUGUGUUGGGCCCCGUCCUCCGCUCCCGGGGGACGGGCCCGAAAGGCAGCGGCGGCACCGCGUCCGGUCCUCGAGCGUAUGGGGCUUUGUCACCCGCUCUGUAGGCCCGGCCGGCGCUUGCCGAAUCAACCAAACUUUUUUCCAGGUUGACCUCGGAUCAGGUAGGGAUACCCGCUGAACUUAAGCAUAUCAAUAAGCGGAGGAA